rnacentral:sRNA from 1 species
AAAUAUUAUCUUAAGGAGAUUAGCAAAACUACCUUUUUUACUACUUUUUUGCAACAAUACCUCUUUAUGUUGUCCAUUUUACAAAAUAUCUCUUUCCUUGAACAGAAUGACCGAAUUACUCUCAUCUAAUAGGAACAUGUAAUUGGAAACUGAAAUUUUUCCGCCAAACUUUUUUUCUGCCAAAAAACAAAUUUCCCGCCAAUUUGUUUUU